rnacentral:rRNA from 1 species
AUACGGGGGGGGCAAGCGUUGCCCGGAAUCACUGGGCUUAAAGGGGGUGUAGGCGGCCGGGUGUGUCGGGCGUGUAAUCUGACGGCUCAACCGUCAGGCUGCGUCCGAAACUACCCGGCUAGAGGGCGCCAGAGGGAGGCGGAACUCCUGGUGUAGCGGUGAAAUGCGUAGAUAUCAGGGGGAACGCCGAAGGCGAAGGCAGCCUCCUGGGGCGCUCCUGACGCUGAGGCCCGAAGGCCAGGGGAGCAAAGGGGAUUAGAAACCCUAGUAGUCC